GGGGGCACCUCCUACAGGCCCCAAAUACAAUACGUAUUUCAUGUUUCUGUUGGUGGCAGCAGGUGGCCUAAAGAUCAGAAAGAUACAGUCUCUUCCCUGCCCUCAUUUUGCCUAUUACAGUGAAAAACUGGGCAGAGCAGAGAGGAAGAAAGGCAGCAGUAGGCAUGGGAAUAAGCAGUAAAGAUAUAAAAUUGCUCAGGUCUACUGUGACCACCCUCAGCUGCAGUACAAUUGCAGCCUGAGGACUGCUACAAAAGCUGUGAAUAGUUGCUCUGUCUCUGUGGUAGCAGAUGGUGGGGAUUAUGGUUCUCUCAAGUACUGAUAGUUUCCCUUGAGCAACACCUUUUUUUUUUUUUUUUUAUCUCCCCUCCCCCCUCCCCCCCCCCCCUUUUUUUUUUCUUUACAGAAGGCAGACAUUUAUUUUAAAUGUUCAAAAAUGUAACCUCUGUUUCAACUUUGAAGGAAAGUGGCAGAGGGGUCAUCUCGUUAUCUUGUAUGAAUAUGACUGGAGGUGAUAUUUGCUGUGUGGAGACUUGUUCAUAUAUUCCUUCUUCCUUCUGCGCUCCCUCAUGAGUUUUCUUGCACUUUAGAAACAGAGAAAAAAAAAAAAGGAAUUAAACAAUAUCAGUGACUGGAAGUGGGAUUGUGAAAUAAUCCUCACCACAAUUAACAGCCUGGGACAACUGUAAAUUUUUCCAGCAAAGAAAAAGGCGACAAAACAAGAAGAAAUUGGCUUCAUAAAAAUCCUUAUGGUAGCCUUAGUUCUCAGUUGUUUAAAUCACUGAAAUUUUGAUGAGAGAAUGGAGAUGUCACAAAACGUUGGGGAUCAGGAGACUUAUGGAUCGUCAUUCUUGUAGCAGCACCUGAAAUGAUGGGGUCUCCUUCAGAGCUACAUGAUGGUGCAGCUUUGCCAGUGGACUGGGAGAAGAUGGCACCUGAAGUGCAUUUCAUGUUCCAGUUGGGAGAAAAUUCAGAACAGAGAAGAAAGGAAUGCAAGUAUACAUCUUUCAAAUCUGACACUGAUGAGUUAUUUAAAUCAAUACUUGCCUGUCAAAAAUUAAAUUCAUGAGGGAACUUUUAAGAACACGUUCUGCCAAAUGAGAGGACCUAUAGCUGCUAUCAUCCUUCAAGAAUGACACUUGAAUUUUAUCUAAUUGUAAUACUUCCAUGUUUAAUUACUAAGUGUAACAUCACAUGCUCAUCGACAAAUAAAGAUUAAAAAAAGCAUAAUUUGUCUGAAUUUUCUG
rnacentral:lncRNA from 1 species